UUAGGUUAAAGGAUUGGUUCUAUGCAACAACCUGAUGAAAGGAAAAAUUAAAAUUAUUUGCAUCUGUUAUGCCCAAUUGAAAACAAAACAAAACAAAACAUUAAUCAAUUUGACCCUGCUCAUGGCUGAAGUAUGAAUAAGUUUUGAAGUAAGUGCUAUUGGAAGCAUGACAUGGUCGUCAACAGGCUCCCACAAAGGAAGAACAAUUGCUGGAAACCCUCUGGUGAUCCCCACAGAAACCUGUAUGACAAAUGGAUUGUGAGAUGGGAAUCCCAAAAUCAAGCACCCAUCACAUUUUAAAGUGUGUAUGUUGGAAACGUUACUCUCUAAUAUUAAUCUAUUCUAGAAAUGAAGACUAGAAAGUUGAAUUUUGUGAGUGGUACCUGGGCAAAUGCGAAGAAGAUUUUUGGACUGAUGAAGCCAGUUUUAAGUUACAUGGCUCAAUUAACUGACACAAUUGCAACUACUGGGUUCCUGAAAAUUUGCAUGUUACUAUGGAACAGCAUUGGUCCAUGGUAUCAGCUGUGUUUUGAGAGUGGUGGUCAUCAGUUUGAACACUUAUAAAAAUGUAUCUAUCCACUUGUGUUUAACCAUUAAUCAUUGUCAAUAAACAAUACAUUUAUUGUCAUUU